GCCAAACUUCCACAUGAGCAAUCUCAGGCCACAUGUUUGGUACCUAAAUCAAUGAUGAAUAGGUAUGGCAUUCAAUACAAAUUCAAUCACUUAAAAUUGUUUCCCUUAUGGGAUUUGGUGAGAGGGAAGUCUUGGAAAUAUAAAUGACAAAUUUCUUUUUAUGUGCCCGCAAUGGUCAUUUAUUAAAAAAAGAGAGAGAAGUCUCGAAAUAUAAAUAUGCCAAAUUUGUCAAGGUCAAUUUCUCAAAGUUUCAAUUAUUUAUAGUCAUGCAUCAAAAAAGAAAAGAAAAAAAGUAAGUCUUGGAAAUAUAAAUAUUUAAAUAUUGACAUUUUUCAUUUAUUUUUAAUAAAUUGUUCGUUACUCAAAUAUUAAAAAAUUCAUCACCUUGGGAGCUGAAACUUUUGUACCAUGCAUAGAAAAGCACCUCAACUGAUUCAAGACAUAUAUGGAAACCUCUUUAAUACGAGUUAUCCAUAGCAUUGGAGUUCAAUGAACGUUAAACUUAUUCCCACUAGGAAGCAUUAAUUAAGCUUCUUCAGUGUUUGGUGCCUAAAUGAAAUAAGAUAGGAAUUACAUCCUUUGGAUGCAAGUGACAAAUUGUUAGAAUCCACAUGUGACAACAAUUAUUUUAUUUGAGUUGUAGGACAAAAGUUUCAAUGAAAAAAAAAAAGAAUAUUACGUUCAAAAUUGUUAAAUUAAAUAAUCGUAAAAUAUAUAUUCGAGAUUGAUUUGUUUAUUGUGUCUUUUCUGACCUCUUCUCCUACAAUUAAUUUUUUUAACCAAACUCUAGCUCUUUCUAGAUAGAGAUUAGUGUUUCAUGAAACAGAAGGAGUGGUUUCUCUUUAGGAAACUUUGAUUGGAAACACUUCUAAUGGGAAUGAACUAUUACGAUUGAAAUCUAACAUAUUUCCUACUUCUUGAUUGGAG
rnacentral:lncRNA from 1 species